CCUUCGUACACACCGCCCGUCACGUCAUGAAAGUUGGAAACGCCUGAAGUCGGUGGCCAACCGUAAGGGGCAGCUGCCGAGGUGGAGCCAGCGAUUGGGACG
rnacentral:rRNA from 1 species